CAAAAUUUGAUAAAAUUUUAUUUUUUUGUAUUUAUCUAAGUCAUAUUAUGCCUCAAAAUCAGGGGCGGAGCUUCUCAAGGACAGGGGCCGCGGCCACCCCAAGAAAAAAAAAUUAUAAGUAAAAUGACUAAAAUGCCCAUAUUAAAACUAAAGAAUUACAAGUAUACUUAAAUCUAAUUGGGUUUUCUCUUUCUUCUUCUCUCUUCCAUCCAACCUCUCUCCUUCUCUGUUCUCUUCUCUGAUUCCCUCCCUCUUGCUUACAAGUUACAAACGCGCGACCGCCUCUGCUCGCUGCGGGCCUGCGGCGACCGCCUCUACCUGACUGCCUCCGUGGCCGUUCCGCCCGUUCGUCGCUCUCGGGCCUGUUCGCUGCAACUCUCAAAAGAUAAAUUUUGCACUCUACUUGAAAAAUAUUACCCUGUGGAUUUCAACAUGCAAGAGAAGAUUAAUUUGAAAUUUCAACUCCAACAUUUCUUGGUUGAUGCUCGUCAAGAUUUAAAUUUGAAUAGUUUAUCAACUAUCUAAGAAUUGUGCUCAUGUUUGGUUGCAACUGAAAAGACGCAAAAUUUCUACUUGAUUGAUAGACUACUUCGUCUUAUCAUGACUCCUCCAGUUUCUACUGCUACAACUAAAAGACUUUUUCAGCAACGAAAAUUAUUAAAUCAAGGUUAAGAAACAAGAUGGAAGCUGACUUUUUGGCCGAUAGCAUGGCGGUUUAUAUUGAAAGGGAAAUUGCUGUAAGUAUCAGUUUUUAGUCUAUUAUUGAUGAUUUCAAAUUAAUUAAAGAGCGUAGAGCAUUACUUUAAGGUAUUCUUAAGUCAUGUAGUUAAAUUAUUUGAUACUUCA